rnacentral:rRNA from 1 species
GAGUUUGAUCAUGGCUCAGAUUGAACGCUGGCGGCAUGCCUUACACAUGCAAGUCGAACGGCAGCAUGAUCUAGCUUGCUAGAUUGAUGGCGAGUGGCGAACGGGUGAGUAAUACAUCGGAACGUGCCCUGUAGUGGGGGAUAACUAGUCGAAAGAUUAGCUAAUACCGCAUACGACCUGAGGGUGAAAGUGGGGGACCGCAAGGCCUCAUGCUAUAGGAGCGGCCGAUGUCUGAUUAGCUAGUUGGUGGGGUAAAGGCCCACCAAGGCGACGAUCAGUAGCUGGUCUGAGAGGACGAUCAGCCACACUGGGACUGAGACACGGCCCAGACUCCUACGGGAGGCAGCAGUGGGGAAUUUUGGACAAUGGGCGAAAGCCUGAUCCAGCAAUGCCGCGUGUGUGAAGAAGGCCUUCGGGUUGUAAAGCACUUUUGUCCGGAAAGAAAUGGCUCUGGUUAAUACCUGGGGUCGAUGACGGUACCGGAAGAAUAAGGACCGGCUAACUACGUGCCAGCAGCCGCGGUAAUACGUAGGGUCCAAGCGUUAAUCGGAAUUACUGGGCGUAAAGCGUGCGCAGGCGGUUGUGCAAGACCGAUGUGAAAUCCCCGAGCUUAACUUGGGAAUUGCAUUGGUGACUGCACGGCUAGAGUGUGUCAGAGGGGGGUAGAAUUCCACGUGUAGCAGUGAAAUGCGUAGAGAUGUGGAGGAAUACCGAUGGCGA